UGGGUGAUGAUUCUUUGCUGUUACCC
rnacentral:piRNA from 1 species